rnacentral:rRNA from 1 species
UGGGGAAUAUUGGGCAAUGGGCGGAAGCCUGACCCAGCAACGCCGCGUGAAGGAAGAAGGCUUUCGGGUUGUAAACUUCUUUUAAGAGGGACGAAUAAAGUGACGGUACCUCUUGAAUAAGCCACGGCUAACUACGUGCCAGCAGCCGCGGUAAUACGUAGGUGGCAAGCGUUAUCCGGAUUUAUUGGGUGUAAAGGGCGUGUAGGCGGGACUGCAAGUCAGAUGUGAAAACUAUGGGCUCAACCCAUAGCCUGCAUUUGAAACUGUAGUUCUUGAGUGCUGGAGAGGCAAUCGGAAUUCCGUGUGUAGCGGUGAAAUGCGUAGAUAUACGGAGGAACACCAGUGGCGAAGGCGGAUUGCUGGACAGUAACUGACGCUGAGGCGCGAAAGCGUGGGGAGCAAACAGGAUUAGAUACCC